AACUGAUGCAAAUGACUAUGAUGGUUACACCCAACAUCAACAAAGAGCUGCAUUACCUUAACAAUGAAGAUCGGUUGCUGCGCUGGCUUGUGGUCAAACACCGAGAUGCAAAAUAUGGGCUGGAAUUUCUUAGUGAAGAGCACAGCAGAAAUGAACUCAGUAAGUUUCCUCGAAGCAGUUUAUAUGAUAAUCAAGAUGUUGAUGAAGACGAUGACAACGACGAUGAAUAUGUUGUGGAUGAAGAAGAAGGAAAGCAGACAUAAGUAACUAGAAUGACAGGUGAACUUCAUUGGAUUCAAUAGUCAUUACGUUAUGAGGAUGAUGAAGAAUGUACUUAUCAAUGCCCCUCAUAUCAAACAUUUCUUGUCAAAACAGGUAAUAAACAAUAUACAACUACAUAGUAUUAAUCUAGUACAAUUUUUAUAUAUGCUUUGAAUUUAUUACCACUAAUAUAAUUAUAAUUAAAUUUUUGUUUUCUUUUUUUUUUUCAGUUCACCUCCGACAAACCAUAUACUACUCAAGAAAUUGAUGAAGUUAGAGAAGAAUGGGCAAUGUCAUUUUUACAAUUGGUUAGAGCAAAAUGAAUGAUAUUAUAGCUAGCUAAUUACAAUACAUGUUUAGAAAUUUUAAAUUUAUUUCGUAAAAUUUUUUUGCCAUUUUUUUAGUAUUUUCUUUUCAAAAUUCUUUUGAUACAUAUUCGACACUCAAAUGGAUAUAUAUUUUUAAAUCAAAAUUAAAAUUGUAGC